UACGUAGGGCGCGAGCGUUGUCCGGAAUUAUUGGGCGUAAAGAGCUCGUAGGCGGCUUGUCACGUCGGGUGUGAAAGACCGGGGCUUAACUCCGGUUCUGCAUUCGAUACGGGCUAGCUAGAGUGUGGUAGGGGAGAUCGGAAUUCCUGGUGUAGCGGUGAAAUGCGCAGAUAUCAGGAGGAACACCGAUGGCGAAGGCAGGUCUCUGGGCCGAUACUGACGCUGAGGAGCGAAAGCGUGGGGAGCGAACAGG
rnacentral:rRNA from 1 species